GUGGCAGCCGCCGCGGUAAUACGAAGGGACCUAGCGUAGUUCGGAAUUACUGGGCUUAAAGAGUUCGUAGGUGGUUAAAAUAGUUGGUGGUGAAAUCCCAGAGCUUAACUCUGGAACUGCCAUCAAAACNUUUUAGCUAGAGUAUGAUAGAGGAAAGUAGAAUUUCUAGUGUAGAGGUGAAAUUCGUAGAUAUUAGAAAGAAUACCAAUUGCGAAGGCAGCUUUCUGGAUCAUUACUGACACUGAGGAACGAAAGCAUGGGUAGCGAAGAGGAUUAGAUACCCUCGUAGUCCAUGCCGUAAACGAUGUGUGCUAGACGUUGGAAAUUUUAUUUUCAGUGUCGCAGCGAAAGCGAUAAGCACACCGCCUGGGGAGUACGACCGCAAGGUUAAAACUCAAAUGAAUUGACGGGGACCCGCACAAGUAGUGGAGCAUGUGGUUUAAUUCGAAGAUACGCGCAGAACCUUACCAACACUUGACAUGUUCGUCGCAACUCUAAGAGAUUAGAGUUUUCGGUUCGGCCGGACGAAACACAGGUGCUGCAUGGCUGUCGUCAGCUCGUGUCGUGAGAUGUUGGGUUAAGUCCCGCAACGAGCGCAACCCUCACUUUUAGUUGCUACCAUUUAGUUGGGCACUCUGAAAGAACUGCCAGUGAUAAGCUGGAGGAAGGUGGGGAUGACGUCAAGUCCUCAUGGCCCUUACGUGUUGGGCUACACACGUGCUACAAUGGCAUCUACAACAGGAAGCAAGAAUGCGAAUUUAAGCAAAUCCCUAAAAGAUGCCUCAGUUCGGAUUGUACUCUGCAACUCGAGUACAUGAAGCUGGAAUUACUAGUAAUCGCGGAUCAGCGUGCCGCGGUGAAUACGUUCCCGGGUCUUGCACACACCGCCCGUC
rnacentral:rRNA from 1 species